GGGGAUGUAGCUCAGUGGGAGAGCAGCUGCCUGGCCUGCUCAAGGCCCCGGGUUCAAUCCCCAGCAUUCCAA
rnacentral:tRNA from 1 species